UUAAGGUCGGAGAAAUAAAUUCAAGUUAAGGAAAAGUAAACGAACGAGGUGGGCUUUCGAACUAAAGUAUUUUUGUGGGCUUUCUAUUCUACAUUAUUAUGUGGUGAAAAAUGCUUUCAGUUAUUUAAAUUCAAAGUAUGUUUUGUCUUGCCGUGUUUUUGUUUUGAGCAUUACCUAUCUGUUCGUCUAGAAAAGGGAGCGACCCUACUAGACCAGUUAUGUUGUGAAUCGAAUUCGGGUCUGAGUGUGGGAGUGAUUCCCUGCUCAGGCUAGUGUACACCAGGGACCGGGAGCCAUCCUUCGAGUUGGCCGCUCAUUGUGACCGUGGAAUGUGGCCACAUUCCCGGCACCAGAAUGAAGUUCAGAUAUGGUAUAUGUUCCAGGAAAAUGGAUCGGCCGAUCACAGUUUUAAAGAGAAAAUGUUUUUAGUGUUCUCGGGCAUUUUCAGUAAAACCCCGUGUUCACUCAGUUAUGGCUUGACAAAACCAGUUUUUAUGAAAAAUAUUUCGGCAUUGUGUUCACUGAGUACAUCAAGUACUCAGCCCUGCAUAUGUUUUAAAAAUGUGCAGGUUAAGCGGUGAUAACGAAGGGCGAUGUUGAGCAAAGAUGGCGAAUGUGUUUCAGCAUUAUAAUGCUCGGAUGAAUCGUGUCUCCAUACACGGUGUCAUUCUCUCUUGACUCUUCCGCUGCAAUGUUCAAAGAGGGCAUGACUAUGACGACUUUGACAACAACACGCGGGUGGACAUCUAGGCACAACCACCUAAGCGCAAUAAGAAGGACAACGUAUUGUAUUUCAAGAGGACGGCGAAGGAAUACGUGAAUAUGACUAAGAAAUUGAACCCGAGACAAAUCCAAGUUGUCUAUGAAAUUGGGUUCGGUGGAAUCUUGCACUACAAUAUGUUCAGUUACAACAUUUUCGGACUAAACAGAAAGAAUAGGACUGCGGUCUCAUGACUAAGGGAACGAAGAGCUUGGGAAUGUUGAGGAUUAAGCUCAGCCGUACACUUCUGAGCUGUGGUUCGAAGCAUAUGGUUUGGAGUAAUUUAUGUUAUGUAGUAGUUCUUGUUUUGAACAAUUAGCAAGGUGUUUUUAUGUCGAUCAAAUUGUUUUGGUGGUUGUGGAAAUAGCAUGGUUGCAAGGAAACAUGAAUUGAAUGCUUAUUCUCUUGUUAA